AAAAUAGAGACUGCCUAGUCACCAAAAAAAAAAAAAAAAUAGAGACUGCCUCACCUCCUCAAAUUGUCCGAUCCCUGAUUCUUCACACACGGUCACCACUCACACAUCAGCCAUUUGUACCGGCGGCUUCGUUCGUGCACACAUUCCUCAAAUCUUGAUCUUGGUCUGCGAUCUCAACAAUCUCUCUCAAACACACUAACCGCUAAUCUUUCACCUUCGCAACACCACAACACCACACCUCCGCGCGUGCACUGUUGCCGGAUUUUGUUGUUGUCGCCAUUGCCAACUGUUGUUGCUAUUCCUCUAUUUUUUUGGUGACCAAACUUGCUGCUCGUUGCUCAGCUUGCUCUCUAUAGCCGCCAUUUGAAGUAGGUACAACAUACCACAAUUGGCAAAAAGACACAAGGUGUAUGUCUUAGACUUGAUUGGAUUUGGCUUGAGUGACGAAAAACUUAUUGAAUAUGAUGGCAUGGUAUGGAGGGAUUAAAUGGUAGACUUCGUGAAGGAAAUAGUUAAAGAACCAUCAGUUUUAAUUGAAAAUAGAUAAUUCACUAUAAUACUUGUACCAAUUUUUUUUAGUAGAUUGUAUCUAAUUUUAAAUAGACACACAAGAUAAAUUAAGCGUUGGUAGCUGCAUAGUCUUAAAAGAUAACUAAUGUGAAAGAGGGUUUAAUAGUUUAUUAAUAUAAUUAAGAGGGAAAAAUUAAAACUCACUACUACAUACUUGAUUUUUACUAACAUUUAUAAAAUGUUACCAAAUCAUAUUAAAAUGUUACCUAUGUAUAUUAGUAACAUUUUA